UACGAAGGGGGCAAGCGUUGUCCGGAAUGAUUGGGCGUAAAGAGCGUGUAGGCGGCCAGAUAAGUCCGCUGUGAAAUCUCGAGGCUCAACUUCGAGCUGUCGGUGGAAACUGUCUGGCUAGAGUCCGGAAGAGGAGAAUGGAAUUCCUGGUGUAGCGGUGAAAUGCGCAGAUAUCAGGAAGAACACCCGUGGCGAAGGCGGUUCUCUGGGACGGUACUGACGCUGAGACGCGAAAGCGUGGGGAGCGAACAGG
rnacentral:rRNA from 1 species